GUGCUUGCUUCAGCAGCACAAAUACUAAAUUGGAACAAUACAGAGAAGAUUAGCAUGCACAAGGAUGACACGCAAAUUUGUGAAGUGUUACAUUUUUAA
ensembl:snRNA U6 U6 spliceosomal RNA